rnacentral:lncRNA from 10 species
CUGGGGAGGGGAAGCCAGAUGGGACCUUUCCUCAAUGUAGAGCCUUGGGAUUCUCCAAGAGGCUCACUCCAUGGCUGCCGCCCAGGGCAGAUGCUUGUAAAUACAUCAGGCGUCUGCAGGGUUGGGGUGGAAGUGGAAGGGCUGGGCUCAGGCUGCCCCGGUGCCAUCCUCAGAUCUGCUUUGGAGAUCCCAACUCUGAAAUAUGGUGUACCAGCAGGCACCCACAAAUGGCUGGACAUCAAGAGGAGCAUGUCAGAGGAGGAGCACGCGGGCUGCUGGAUGUCGAGAGGAAUGUACCGAUAGUCCCUGGCAUGAUGGCAGGCCAUCGACCAUCGACCAGCUGAACUAGCAGAGUUUGGCUGAGGCAGAGUUUGGCUGGGAAGUCAGAGGAGAGUGGCCCAACUGCAGGGGAAAACCAUCCCCCUUCUGGCUCCCCCAUCUGCUGAGGGCUACUUCCACUCAAUAAAACCUUGCACUCAUUCUCCAAACC